GGAGGAUGAAAUGCAGAUACCUGACCUCCUGUGUACCUACCUUUCCCAAUACUAUGUGUUCACCACAGUACACAGUGUCUGGUCACCAGCUUUUGUGUUUGGGCCUGGCCUCCAUAUCCAGAGUGGACCUCAAUGCUAACCAUUCUGUCAGUCUUCAUCUCCCUCACCCACAGACCUUCUGCCAUUCCUACUAGCUACAAAGGACACUGGGAAACAGGAGCACACACAAGCCUGAUAGUUCUACCUUGUUGCUUUGGGUUUUUUUCCCUUCUUGUUUACAGGUACUGGUAAGCUACAGAGUAAGUCACAAAUUGUUCUCAGAGCUUUAUUUUUUUUAAUUAUAGUUUUUUAAUAAUGAUUUUUAUUUUUUUCCAUUAUAGUUGGUUUACAUAUUUCUUCAAUUUCUGUUGUACAGCAAAGUGACCCAAUCACACAGUUCCUGUGUUGUACAGAAGGGCCCAAUUGCCCAUCCAUUCCAAAUACAACAAUUUGCAUCUGAAAAUUCCAAACUCCUGGUCCUUAUCCAGUCCAUCCCACUCCGUAAGUCUGCUCUCCCUUGACCUUGAUCUGUUUCUGUUUUGGAGAUAGAAAAACUGAUCCCAGAGCUUUAAAUGAAAUGUACGCAGCUCUUCUGCAACGAGCUGUCCUUGUUGCUUGACGGUUCCUCUGCCCUUUCUUUUUAGUUCCCCCUCACAUGCUGCUGAGUCCUAACUCUAAAGUGUCUCAACUUCAUGCAUAUUCUCUGAGCCUGGCAUUUAUCCUCUGAUUCUAGAGGUAUAUUGAGCCUGCUCCACUGUUGUGAGUGAAGGAAGCUUCUCUUGAGUGUUUCUCAGGAUCUUCACCCAUUUUUCUGCUCUUGUUUUGUAAUCUCAGGGAAAGAGGCAUCCUUCUGCUUUGUCACUGUUCUCCUCAAUCUCAUGUUCUCCUGCUACCCCUGGGAUCUUGCUUUUCUGGUCAUUUCUCAUAUAUAUUUUUUGCUUUUUAGGGCCAUAGAGGUAGCAAAUGGAAGUUCCCAGGCUAGAGGUCUAACUGGAGAUACAGCUGCCAGCCUAUGCUACAGCCAUAGCAAUGAGCCGCGUCUACAGCCUAUGCCACAGCUCACAGCAAUGCAGAUCCCUGAUCCACUAAGCAAGGCCAGGAUCAAACCCCCAUCCUCAUGGAUACUAGUUGAAUUUGUUUCCUCUGUGCUACAAUGGGGACUUCCUAUUUAAAAUAUAUAUUAGGGCCACAGAUGUGGCAUAUGGAAGUUCCCAGGCUAGGGGUAAAAUUAGAGCUACAGCUGCUGGUCAACCCCACAGCCCACAGCAAUACCAGAUCCAAGCCCCGUCUGUGACCUACACUGCAGCUUGUGGCAGUGCCGAUCCUUAACCCACUGAGCAGGGCCAGGAAUUGAACCCACAUCCUCAUGGAUACUAGUCAGGUUCAUCACUGCUGAACCACAAUGGGACUGCCUAUAUUUUACUUCAAUUCGUUUUCCAGAGACAUGAUUGCACAUCUCCCUCCAUUUGACAAAUGCUCAAGUUGCCAUUAACUAAAAACAAACACACAAACUGAAAAAACAAGUAGUCAAAAUAAUAAGCAACUCCCGCCCCAGAACUCCUUGACCCUGAUACUACUUCUCCAUCUUUCUUUUCUUUUCUUUCUUUUCUUUUCUUUUCUUUUUUCUUCUCUUCUCUUCUCUUCUCUUUUUCUUUCUUUCUCUCUUUCUUUCUUUCUUUCUUUCUUUCUUUCUUUCUUUCUUUCUUUCUUUCUUUCUUUCUUUCUUUCUUUCUUUCUUUCUUUCUUUCUUUCNNNNNNNNNNNNNNNNNNNNNNNNNNNNNNNNNNNNNNNNNNNNNNNNNNNNNNNNNNNNNNNNNNNNNNNNNNAGGCUAGGGGUCAAAUUGGAGCUAUAACUGCUGGCCUACAGCACAGCCACAGCAAUUCAGGAUCCAAGCCGCAUCUGUGACCUACACCACAGCUCACAGCAAUGCUGGAUCCUUAACCCACCACUGAGCGAGGCCAGGGAUCCAACCUGCAUCCUUGUGGGUGCUAGUUGGGUUUGUAACCCACUGAGCCACAACAGGAACUCCUCUCCACCUUUCUUUGCUGACAAACAUCUUAGUCUGCCCCUGCCACCUCUUUGGAACCCACACACUUCUAGGAAUAUGAACUCAGUAUUAUGCUCAAAGUGUUCUCUUCUUGUCAUCAAGAGCUCAGGGUCUGUAACUCAAAAGAACUCAUCUCAGUUCUUAACCUCUCUACUCUCUCUGCAAUAUGGGGCAUCUUGGCUAGCCACACUGGGAUGGACUGAGUGUGUCCUUCCAAAAUUCAAAUGUUGAAGCCCUAAUCCCCAGUGUGAUGGUAUUUAGACUUAGAUUUUUGGGAGUAAUUAGGUCAUGAGGCUGGAGCCUUCUUGAAUGAGAUUAGUGCCCUUAUAAGAGACUUUCAUAGAGAUCAUCUAUGAAAAGACUUUCAUCUUUUCAUAGAUGAUCUUUCCUUCCACUGUAUAGGAAUACAGCGAGAAGGCAGCCACUUACAAACUAGGGAGAGAGCCCUCACCAAGAACCCAACCAUACCAACACCCUGAUCUUAGACUUCCAGCCUUUAGAACUGUGAGAAAGAAUUGUUUGUUGUUUACUCCAGCUAGUCUAUAGUCUAUAGUAUUCUGUUGUAGCAGCCCAAACAGCCUAAGGCACAUACCUUAAAAUUUCAGUUGAACUUUGUGAUGCUGAGUGCUUCUCUGUUCCUCUGAUUCUUUAUUACUACUAUAAAGACUUGCCCUUUGGUUCUCUUCCUUAUUUCUAAAUGAAGAUUCUCCUUCUUCUUAGUUCUUUCAUUGCACUCCUUGGCUGUAGUCUUUCUGUAAGUGAUUUUAUAUAGUCACAAGAAUUAAAAUAGCACCUUUUAAAGAAUACCGCCAAACCAUGUAUCACUGCAGUGACCUGUCUUGGAUGUGCAUUUUCAAUUGUUUGAUGCAUAUUUUCACCUAAAAGAUGACACAUUGAUUCAAACUUAAACUCAGCAUGAUCGAAACCGAACUCACUUUUUUCUUCUUGUUACUACUUUAGUUCAUUCUUUCAUCACUAGUUAUGAAGAAUACAAUACAUUCCUAACUGAUGCUCUAAUGUUUGGAUAUUCUGUUCAUAAUUUAUAUAUGCGUGGAUAAAUUUAGUAAUGAGAGAUUAUUUUUCAAACUUUGGUCUUGUUUAAAAACAUUCAGUAGCAACUAUUGCCUACUGAAUUAUACCUAGUCAGAAGCUUGCCUUUAAGAUGCUUUACAAUAUGUAUAUGCCAUUUUCAGACUUAUUCUUCUAAAACACUCUACAAAUUCCCUGUGCCACAUAUAAAACUGACAACUCAUGGUUCCAUGGAUGUGCUUUGUCCAUUCUUGUUUCCAUUUCAAUAGACUGACAUGAAAAAAUGGUUAAUAAAUAAUAGAUUACUUUUAAAAUGGAUACUGGUGGAUUCAUCCUGGGUUGAAUCCAUUAACCGACAGAUGAUGUCUUUCUCUAAACUGUCUCUGAAUGUAGCUAAGAAAAAAAUUGAGUGGAGAGGUAUAUAUCUGUUAUAACUUGUUUGUCUUUGAUCAUUGCCAGAUUUUUAUAGUGUAUGUCUUCUCUCCCAAAGAAUGCUGACUGUAAGUUCCUUGUGGACAUGACAUGACUUAUUCUUUUUUAUAUCUUCUAAAAUAUGAAGAACACAUAAUAAAUAUUUCACAUGUAUUUGUUGAAAGGACAUAUGGGUGGUUAAAAAAUGGAUACUGUGCAUUUUGUCCUUUGAGAUAACUUAUCUAUUAUUUAUCAUACAAGCCUGGUUUACCAUUCCAAACGAAAGCUUUAUGGUAAACAUCUGAAGUCCUAAACAAAUGGAAAUUAAGCUGCUCACAAAUUUAUCUGGUGAUUACAAGUCACUUUGUGAUGCUUUUCCCAUUUUAUCUUCCAGCUUAAUUUUGCUGGAAAGCAUACCUCAUGAAUGGCUCUAGCAAGUUGUGAUGCCAGCUGGGGGAAUUUUGCCGUUUAUAGCACGAGCCAUUUCACAGAUUUUUCAGGGAUUUUUGAGACUGGUGAUACUGCAAAGAUAAUGCACAUUCUCUGUGUCAAAAGAUGUGAAUUAAUGAGGUAAAGGAAACAUUUAUCUGUUGCAAAUGACCAGGGAAGUUUUGCCAAAUUUCCUCAAGUUGUCUCUUUUCUCUUGGCAUUCACUUGGAAGGAGUAUAUCCUGGUAAUGGGAAUCACAUGUGAUUAAAGAAACCUUCAUGAACUGAUGCAGACCUUCACACGGCUACAGUCAGGGGUUUGGAGGAUACUGGAAGUUGACUUAAAUCUUUGAGACAAAUCUAGAAUAUAUAGGAAAAUGUGAUCAAUGAAAAAUGUGCAACCUCUGUAUGUCCAACGCAAAGUCAUAUGGUAUGUGUGUGUGUGUGUGUGUGGUUAUCCCUAUGUGAAGUGGUAAUUAAUAUGCUGAAAAUAAAAACCGUUCUAGAGAAAAGUCCUAAAAGCUGACAAAGGCUGUUACCUUUAAAGUAAAAUUCCUGGAUAAUUGAGGAUGUAGACCAUCACUUUGGGAGCUUCUCUUUAUCCUCUGAGUAAGAAAGAAGAGCGUUUCAGGGAUUUGUGCUCUCUAGAUGCUGUGUAUCCACUUAACUAAAAAAUAGACUCUACUUGGGGUCUACAUAAAGAUUUUCUUAUACUUACUCUGCCUUCAACUCUACACAUUUAUGGCAAAGUAGAAAUACUUUUUGCUCUUAUUUCCUAGGCUAAACAGUCCCUUAUCUGGUUCAACAGAUUGACCUCUGGCCUAAAGGGCAAGUGAGACUCUUCAGAUAGUUUUGUCUUGUGGUCUGUUGGAUGCCAUUACUCCCAGGUAGCUAGAGCACAUUCUUUCAUUCUCUUUGGGCCUUGAUUUUGCUCUUUAAAAUUAACUAAUUAAUUAAUUUUCUUUUUAUAGCUGCACCUGCAGCAUAUGGAAGUUCCUGAAUCAGGGAUUGAAUCAGAGCUACAGCUGUGGCCUGCACCACAGCAGCCCUGGAUCUUAGCUGCAUCUGUUGCAGCAACGCUGAAUCCUUAACUCAUUGAGUGAGGCCAGGAGUUGAACCCGCAUCCUUACAGAGACUAUGCCAGGUCCUUAACCUGCUGAGCCACGAGGGAAACUCCUUGAUUUUGCUUUUAUCUGCCUUUUUUGUUCUGUGUCAGAUCUUCCCUCAUCCCACUCUUUACUAUUCCUAUUCUUUCUUCUGCUUCCUUUGUUUUCAUCUGUACAAAUUUGAGAUGCCUAGAAGUUAAUGUGGCUUGUUAAAUAUUCUCUGCACAGAGCCUGGAGAAAAGUGCUGUAUAUAUCAGGUAUAUAAUGAUAAGGAAUCAAAUUCUGCUCUGUACUUUUGCCUCUUUCUGGUAGUAAGUUAUGUAAUAAUGUUAUAAAUGAUCAAUUGGCAGCCUGGUGGGGUGAAUGUACUUCUCUGAGUGCCUCGUGAACACCCUGGGAAUGGCUUAGGUAUGAGGAAGAAUAUAAACUAAUAAUACAUGCCAGCUCUGAUUCCUUUGAGAAUUCAUGUCCUGAGAAAUUUCAAUGGAACAAUCUAAUUUUUUCAUCCACAAUAGUGUUUGAUUUGCAUUCAAGGAGGGAUAUUUUCCUGUCUGGCUACUUAGGGAUGGAGUUCAGAGUCAGAAAACAUUUUAUACCCUUAGAUUUUCUUCAUUUCCUAUUAACAGUGAAUACUCACUAAGUUCAUGGCACUGCUUGGAAGGAGAGCUGAGUUAAGAUCAAAACCAGGCUGGCUGGUGCCUUUGAGAGCCACUACAGCCACAAACACUGCAAGUGUCCCUUGCCGGGAACCCAGCUAAGGAAGGACUCCUCUGAGAUAGCUACUAUCCUGAUCUGCCAAACUGCAUGUACAAAAAAGAAAAGCUUAUUACCUGUCAUUGGAGAAUGACAACUAAAUAAGAUAGCAUUGAUAAUACCAAAUCCCAAAGAGAUGGACAGUACACUUUUUUUUUCCUGUAAAUUGUUUAUAAUUUUAUUGAAACAUAUUAUGCUCACUUAAAAACAAUGUCACAGUCCCAACAAAUCUAAGAGAAUAAACACCUUAUAAAGACUAAGGAAAGUAGGAUCUUCAUGGACUACAACUAUCAGAGGAAAAUCUCAUGGAGAUGGUUGAAGAGCUCUGGC
rnacentral:lncRNA from 1 species